rnacentral:rRNA from 1 species
CCUACGGGGGGCCUCCCUUUUUCAUAUUGCACAAUGGGGUAAACCCUGAUUCAUCCCCUCCGCGUGAGCGAUGAAGACCUUCGGGUCGUAAAGCUCUGUCCUAAGGUAAUAAUACUGACGGUACCUUAGGAGGAAGCCCCGGCUAACUACGUGCCAGCAGCCGCGGUAAUACGUAGGGGGCUAGCGUUAUCCGGAAUUACUGGGCGUAAAGGGUGCGUAGGCGGCCCUUCAAGUCAGAGGUGAAAGGCUACGGCUCAACCGUAGUAAGCCUUUGAAACUGUAGGGCUUGAGUGCAGGAGAGGAGAGUGGAAUUCCCAGUGUAGCGGUGAAAUGCGUAGAUAUUGGGAGGAACACCAGUUGCGAAGGCGGCUCUCUGGACUGUAAAUGACGCUGAGGCACGAAAGAGUGGGGAGCGAACAGGAUUAGAUACCCUAGUAGUC